ACAGAAAAUGGAGUUAGCUGCGGUUGGUAGAUGGCCAGUAAGAGGCAGUGAGUAUUAUUAUUGAUAAUGGUUGCUAGGUGACAGGAAGAGCUUUUAGGAGUACUGAUAAUGGUUGCUAGGUGACAGGCAGAGCUUUCAGGAUUAUUGAUAAUGGUUGCUAGGUGACAGGCAGAGUUUCUGGAUUAUUGAUAAUGGUUGCUAGUUGACAGACAGAGCUUUCAGGUUUAUUGAUAAUGGUUGCUAGGUGACAGGCAGAGUUUCUGGAUUAUUGAUAAUGGUUGCUAGGUGUAAGAUGAAGUUAUUGAAACAAACCUAGCUGACGGACAGUGUUUACUAGCUGACAGGCAGGGCUUUUGAAAUGAUUGAUGGUGGUUUUUAGGUACAACAGGAAAUCAAUUAAACAAACCUAGGCAACUGACAGUAGUUGCUAGGUAACAGACUGGGCUUUUAGAUCCUUCACUAGCAUUGCUAGAUCACAGACAGGCUCAGUGAUCCACAGAUGAUCGAUCUCUAAAUGAAUGACAGGUUUUCUGUUGUGACUCGCAGUGGUAACCUGGAUAUUGACACUGGU